GUUUAUUUCAGGACUAUAUUAAGUUUCCCAACUUCUGUCAUGAUAUAGUCCAAAGAGAACCUGGACCACGCAGACAUCAAACAGAACAUGACACUGACCCAUUCUAUCAGUGACGUUGUGCUGAUUGCACAGGACAGAUGAGAGGCUCGUAUACUAGAAGUCUUGUUAUCCACAGAAGGAAUGAUCUGCAAUGUACACACGCCAGGACAGAAAUUCUACAGUUGCUGAUAAAAUGUAAACCUUCACAGGUAUACCUGAUGCUGCCAAUUACUG
rnacentral:lncRNA from 10 species